AAUAAAAGAAAACACACUCCUAACAAACAAACAAAAAAAAGGUUGCUCCUGACUAUGGUUCAGAAUCUGGCAUCAUGAUCCCACGCAGGUCAAGGAAAAAGGGAGGUUGCCUUUUCCAUGCAUUCGUGGACUUUAUCGCAUUGUUUCCUGUGUUUUAGGGACAGCAAGAAAUCUGCAGGGAAGCAGAGGGCUGCAGUCUGGGGAUGGGCUGUCUGUGAAACACCUGCACAGGAAAUGGACAGAAGCCUGUUCCUCCCAGACAUGCCUAAACUCGGACCAUCACAGCCUCCUGACCCUCUGCUCCUACCUGAGUGACACAAAGGCUUUUGAUCAGGUUACUAGUUCAGGAGGAGUGUUCUGAUGUCGCUGAACCAUAGUCACCUGGGUCCCAGAAUGGCCUCCUGGAAGGUGACCCUCCUCCCAAAUCUGAACAUUCACCCUGAGGUCUUGGUGAGUGAGAAACACACCCCCGUUUCACUCAGCCACAGCAUUCACAUUUUAUCCGCUGCUCCAACUUGGUCUAACUUAAUUGAUGCAUCUUUUUAAAAACUCAGAAGUUCUCAGAUCAUCCCCCAAAGAGAUCUCCAUGCCUCAAAUGAGUGUUUCUGAAUUAUGAGUGGUUUCUAUUGCUCAUUAAAUACUUAUUAUAUCCAUGAAUGGAAUGCACUAUCAUUUUAUACAGGAGAAUAUUUGUGGUUAGUGAAAUAUGUAAGAUUCUCUGAAUCAUAAACCUAGUAUAUCACACAGCUGGGAUUUAAAUCCAAAAUUUUCUGAUUACAAACACUUUCUUUUUUUUUAAAUGAUUUUUAUUUUUUCCAUUAUGGUUGGUUUACAGUGUUCUGUCAGUUUCUACUGUACAGCAAAGUGACCCAGUCACACACACAUAUGUAUACAUUCUUUUUCUCACAUUAUCCUCUAUCACAUUCCAUCAUAAGUGACUAGAUAUAGUUCCCUGUGCUAUACAGCAGGAUCCCAUUGCUUAUCCACUCCAAAUGCAGUAACACUAUCUCUAUACCAAAAAUCAGUCACAUUUUAGAGAAUAUUGUGGGAAAAUGAUAUAAAGGCAAUAACAAGGUCAAGUCGUAGAGGACACUUAGAACCAGGAAGAGAAGGCAGAGCUGGCUCUGUGUGACAAGGGUGUGUGCGUGCAUGUGCGUGUGCACCUAUACGUGGGAAAAUGACAAAAUGAAUUAUGUCAUCUGGUGUAUAUUGGAGUUGGAAGGAUUGGAGUCAGUAAGACUAUUUUAUAAACAUUCUAGUCCUCCAAGAUUAAUUUCUCUUACAUGAAAUAUUGACCAAGUAUAAAUAUUGACUAAAUUGGGAGCUCCCAUCAUGGCAUAAAAAUUAGAACUGAAAAAUUACUGAGACUGUUAAAAAAGCCUUGUGCAAUUGAAAUGUCACAGGGUAAGUCAUUGUAACUUAGGGCCACAUCUCUCUGCAGAUCUGUAAAUCCCCACCAGCAAUUCUGAUAUGUACAGAGAAGGACCCUCCAUUGUCACUUGUUUCAAAGAAACCGAAUUUUCAGUUGUUGUAAGUAGAUUUAGUAAUCAGAAAGAUCAUAAUUUUGCUCUUCUUAAUUGAUUUGCUACAUUUUAUUUUCUCACUUUUAUUCUUAAAACUUCACAGCAAACCAGUGAAACACUAAAAAGGAGAUAAAAAUGUCCAUAAUCUGCUACUUUUAAGUAAGAUGAGCAAGUCUCUAGUAUCCCUUUUGGUCUAUUCCCAUGUCAUGUGAUGGUUUUCCCAUUGCGCUGGUAGCAUAAAUCGGUGCUAAAUUUUACAGUGCCUCUUAACCAUUACAUUGUUAUUGGGUCUUUAACAGUUUUAAUGGCUGUAUCGUAUUUCUCCGAUUUUAUUUUAAAUCAUGUGGUUUUUUUUUUCCUGCUCUCAAAUAUUUAUUUCAUUUAUUUUUACCAUUUGGCCCUUAUAAAUGUACAUGUGUAUUGACUUAUCUAUCUAUCUAGUUUAUAGGCCUGAGUUUUGUUUUCUUUCAGAUUUAAUUUUUAGGAUUUGUUUUCAUCCAUA
ensembl:lncRNA